AGCGAACGCUGGCGGCGUGCCUAACACAUGCAAGUCGAACGUGAAAAGGGAAACCUGAGUAAAGUGGCGUACGGGUGAGUAACGCGUAGGUAAUCUACCCCAGAAUCUGGAAUAACCUGCCGAAAGGCGGGCUAAUACUGGAUAGAGCGAGGGAACUCGUAAGAGAGUUUUUCGGGAAAGGGAGCCCGCAAGGGCCUUCGUUCUGGGAUGAGCCUGCGUCUCAUUAGCUAGUUGGUAAGGUAACGGCUUACCAAGGCGAUGAUGAGUAGCUGGUCUGAGAGGAUGAUCAGCCACACUGGAACUGAAACACGGUCCAGACUCCUACGGGAGGCAGCAGUGGGGAAUCUUGCGCAAUGGACGAAAGUCUGACGCAGCCACGCCGCGUGAGUGAAGAAGGCCUUCGGGUUGUAAAGCUCUGUCGGAUGGGACGAACAUCUUCAUAGUGAAUAGCUAUGAUGACUGACGGUACCAUCAAAGGAAGCACCGGCUAACUCCGUG
rnacentral:rRNA from 1 species